rnacentral:rRNA from 1 species
AUUGAACGCUGGCGGAAGGCCUAAAACAUGCAAGUCGAGCGAGCGGCGGACGGGUGAGUAAUGUAUGGGGAUCUGCCCGAUAGAGGGGGAUAACUACUCGAAACCGUGGCUAAUACCGCAUACUAUCGGAUCAGCCCAUCUGGGAUUAGCUAGUAGGUGGGGUAAAGGCUCACCUAGGCGACGAUCUCUAGCUGGUCUGAGAGGACGACCGGCCACACUGGGACUGAGACACGGCCCAGACUCCUACGGGAGGCAGCAGUGGGGAAUAUUGCACAAGGGGCUCAAGCCUGAUCUAGCCAUGCCGCGUGUAUGAUGAAGGCCUUCGGGUUUUAAAGCACUUUCGGCGGGGAAGCGUUAUCCGCAGAAUAAGCACCGGCUAACUCCGUGCCAGCAGCCGCGGUAAUAC